rnacentral:rRNA from 1 species
AUUGAACGCUGGCGGCAGGCCUAACACCUGCAAGUCGAGCGAGCGGCGGACGGGUGAGUAAUGUCUGGGAAACUGCCUGAUGGAGUGGGAUAACUACUGGAAACGGUAGCUAAUACCGCAUACCAUCAGAUGUGCCCAGAUGGGAUUAGCUAGUAGGGGGGGAAACGGCUCACCUAUGCGACGAUCCCUAGCUGGUCUGAGAGGAUGACCAGCAACACUGGACAUGAGACACGGUCCAGACUCCUACGGGAGGCAGCAGUGGGGAAUAUUGCACAAGGGGCGCAAGCCUGAUGCAGCCAUGCCGCGUGUGUGAAGAAGGCCUUCGGGUUGUAAAGCACUUUCAGCGGGGAGGCGUUACCCGCAGAAGAAGCACCGGCUAACUCCGUGCCAGCAGCCGCGGUAAUUC